rnacentral:lncRNA from 1 species
GCGAGUGGGAUUUUUCUCUUGCGUCCGUUGCGCCUGUGAUACCCGACAACUGUAGCAGCAUGUCAUCUGAUCCGACUUCAACUGAAGGCUCGCCGACUGAUGCGGAAGCAGUUUACCUCGUUUCGCACGGGCCACCAAAGAAAAUUGUGAAGUUCACAGGCGCCCGGAAGCUCGCCGACCUUCAAGAAAGUGUGCGGAUGGGUGGGUUCGCGCACCUGAUGACAUGCAACGAUCUCCUAAUACAGCAUGCUGGAAGCUGCACAGGGGAGUUGGCAAGGGGGCACAAGGAAGCAAUGCCCCGUUGCUGUCCGUAGGGUGAACGCAAGGCGGCUCGUGCCGGCCGCAAUUUCUACGCUGCGCUUUUCAUCUCUGAAGCCAUGCGCAGCAGCGUGCAGUCGUCAUGUUCAGAAAAGCAGUGCAAAGGUACCCGAAUAAGCUGUACAACAUUGCUGCAAGGUGCCUUGGUAAACCAGUA